UUGGUGUUACUGCGAAGGGGGGACGGAGAAGGCUAUGUUGGCCGGGCGACGGUUGUCCCGGUUUAAGCGUGUAGGCUGGUUUUCCAGGCAAAUCCGGAAAAUCAAGGCUGAGGCGUGAUGACGAGGCACUACGGUGCUGAAGCAACAAAUGCCCUGCUUCCAGGAAAAGCCUCUAAGCAUCAGGUAACAUCAAAUCGUACCCCAAACCGACACAGGUGGUCAGGUAGAGAAUACCAAGGCGCUUGAGAGAACUCGGGUGAAGGAACUAGGCAAAAUGGUGCCGUA
rnacentral:rRNA from 1 species